rnacentral:rRNA from 1 species
AUUGAACGCUGGCGGCAGGCCUAACACAUGCCAGUCGAGCGGAUGAAGGGAGCUUGCUCCUGGAUUCAGCGGCGGACGGGUGAGUAAUGCCUAGGAAUCUGCCUGGUAGUGGGGGAUAACGUCCGGAAACGGGCGCUAAUACCGCAUACGUCCUGAGGGAGAAAGUGGGGGAUCUUCGGACCUCACGCUAUCAGAUGAGCCUAGGUCGGAUUAGCUAGUUGGUGGGGUAAAGGCCUACCAAGGCGACGAUCCGUAACUGGUCUGAGAGGAUGAUCAGUCACACUAGAACUGAGACACGGUCCAGGCUCCUACGGGAGGCAGCAGUGGGGAAUAUUGGACAAUGGGCGAAAGCCUGAUCCAGCCAUGCCGCGUGUGUGAAGAAGGUCUUCGGAUUGUAAAGCACUUUAAGUUGGGAGGAAGGGCAGUAAGUUAAUACCUUGCUGUUUUGACGUUACCAACAGAAUAAGCACCGGCUAACUUCGUG